GAAUAUUGGACAAUGGGCGAAAGCCUGAUCCAGCAAUGCCGCGUGUGUGAAGAAGGCCUGCGGGUUGUAAAGCACUUUCGGUGGGGAAGAUUAUGACGGUACCCACAGAAGAAGCACCGGCUAACUCCGUGCCAGCAGCCGCGGUAAUACGGAGGGUGCGAGCGUUAAUCGGAAUUACUGGGCGUAAAGCGCGCGUAGGCGGUUUAGUAAGUCGGAUGUGAAAGCCCCGGGCUUAACUUGGGAAUUGCGUUCGAUACUGCUGGACUAGAGUAUGGUAGAGGGAAGUGGAAUUCCGGGUGUAGCGGUGAAAUGCGUAGAUAUCCGGAGGAACACCAGUGGCGAAGGCGGCUUCCUGGACCAAUACUGACGCUGAGGUGCGAAAGCGUGGGGAGCAAACAGG
rnacentral:rRNA from 1 species